AAGGUUCGACUCGAGCGCCAAUGAGAAAGCGUUGCCGCAGGCAACGACCCGAAGGGCGAAGCGCGCAGCGCUGAGUAAUCCUUCCCCCACCACCA
rnacentral:sRNA from 1 species